AUUGAACGCUGGCGGCAGGCCUAACACAUGCAAGUCGAACGAGUGGCGGACGGGUGAGUAAUGUCUGGGAAACUGCCUGAUGGGGGGGGUUAACUACUGGAAACGGUAGCUAAUACCGCAUACCAUCAGAUGUGCCCAGAUGGGCUUAGCUAGUUGGUGGUGGAACGGCUCACCAGGGCGACGAUGCCUAGCUGGUCUGAGAGGAUGACCACACACACUGGAACUUAGACACGGUCCAGACUCCUACGUGAGGCAGCAGUGGGGAAGAGUGCACAAUGGGCGAAAGCCUGAUGCAGCCAGGCCGCGUGUAUGAAGAAGGCCUUCGGGUUGUAAAGUACUUUCAGCGGGGAGGCGUUACCCGAAGAAGAAGCACCGGCUAACUCCGUGCCAGCAGCCGCGGUAAUAC
rnacentral:rRNA from 1 species